GAUCUGCGGGAGAAUAUCUAAGAUACUUUGUUCUUUUAUUUACAAUAUUAUUUUGAAUUCAUAACUUGACCGUCGUAAUUUUUGCAGGUACCACACCUUUGCCGUGUCAUGCUAUGUUCAUGAGUAUGAUGAAACAGAAAGGAAAUGGUAGGAUGUUUGGUUUGCUGUGAUCGGUUCCAUGAGAUUUAGAAAGUGAUGCAGGGACGCCUUUGAUCAUGCUCAACAAGCUGCUAGAGUGUUCAAGAACAGAAGCAGCCUGCAGUCUACCCUAUUGGAAGCACCAUCCGUUCCUCAACCCAACUCCGAGUGGAUGAGUGUCAUUGACUCGAGGGCCUGCUGGAACAUUGGAAAUGGGCAGAGGGUGAAAAUGUUGGGUGACAACUGGUUCCUGGGUCAGGCUGAGUUUGAAGUGUGGAGUCAUGCCUCAACCCUAGUGAUUCGGUUGAUCGAAGAUGACACAAACAAUGGAAAUUAAAACACGCUUACGGUUAAUGGAUGAAAUUAUUUAGCUUGGUGAGAUGCGAUUAGAACUGUUUCGUCUCAUCAACAACACUCAAGAAGCCAUGGACGCUGAAAGAAAGAGGAAAAUCACAAUCUUGAUGUCAUUUAGAUAAUAACUAACAACUUUUUAUUCAUUUCAAUUGAUUCUGUUAGGUAUGUUGUUUUAUUUCCCCAAUGUUAUUUUGAAUCCAUCCAUCUGUUACUAUUGUUGUGUCGUGAUGAGUAGGAUCAAACUCCUUCAGGUAAAGUAACUAGAAAUAGAAUGGCAUUUAGUAUGUGUGGUUAACUAUGACUUCCUAACCGUAUCUUGUUCUUUUUCCUUUUUCACAGACUUGUUGGUUACUGUCAGUUUUACUUGAUUGUCAGAGUCUUUGCAGGCAGGUACCACAACCUUUGUAUGCUCUCAUGAAUAUAUCAAAAUCAGUCUUAAAGUCAUUACAGAUAUGGAGAGCCAACAGUUGAGGUCACAAAUGAAGGCGUUGAUGUUGCAGGGCAUGCAGUUGGUUCAUCUUCGGAGUGUGAUGAAACCUGCAUCACUGGGAAAAGCCUCUGCCCAAGCAAGCUUAUGGUUAAUCUUUCUCAAUUAUUAUCAUUGGAUUGUGCAUUGUUGGUUAUAUUGUUUUAUUUCCCAACAUUAUUUUGAAUUCAUUAUUAACUUGAUCGUUGGAGACAUUGUAGGUACCACACCCUUGCUAUGAAUAUGUACAAUUUUAAUAAAAAUGUGAAGCCUUUUUUUUAUUUGAACAUUUCUUCACUCGUCUUAAUGACUUUUUGUUGGCUUUCUUGUAGUGAGCUUAUUUACUUUUCAAUGCUUACAUUGAUAAUGUUUUGUGGAUUUUGUAGGAGGCUAACUUGGAAGAGUUUGGUGAAUAUUAAAAUAAUAGAGUUAAUACCUAUUAUGUCGUUGCACUUACUGUUAAAUUGUUUGUUCCGCACAUAUCUUUCAUGUGUCUGUUUAUGUUCUAUAGAAUGCAUACAUGCUAAUGUUGAUGUUCUGAUAUUGUUUCUAUUUCAAUUAUUCCUUCAUGAAUGAUCGUUUGAUUAUUUAUGAGUUUGGCUUUAGAUUAUUUCUUCCAUUGUUUGAUUUUAAAUAGGGUUCGUAUUUAAAUUGUUGGAAGCUGUUGUAUUAAUCAAUGAAUGAUGUGAAUCUAAAUUCUAAUAUAACAAUCUGAUUUAGUUCAAUCUCCUAAACUUUGUUUAUUUUAUUAACAGAAAACAAUUAACUACACUUGUUUGCAUUUUCCAGGAGUAACUAGAAAUAGAAUGCAAAUAUCUAAUGGUGAAGGAUAAUACUAACAUUAUGAAUUCUGUUUCAGGCCCCGCCAAGGGAGCAAGCGUAUGUGACAUUUUUCGGAUCGAGUUUCAUGCACUUCAUUAGAUAAAAUGAACUUGUUCUUUGUUUUGGAAGCAUAAUCCGGUACCACACCUUUGGUGUGUCAUGCUAUGCUCAUGAGUAUGAUGAAACAGAAAGGAAAUGCAUCACCUUAAAAGCAUGGUAGGAAGUUUACCUUUGAUUUGAGCUGCUGGCCAUGCUUAAUAGUCCGGUCUUCAACCGAGCUGAGUGAAUGAGAUUCAUUGACAUGGGGACCUUCUGAAACAUAUGGACCCAACAUAUUAUUCAAACAAAUUUAUUUGAGAGUAAUAUAUAAGACAAUUAUUGCCCUUUUGUAAUUUGUAUAAGUAAAGUAUAAACUUUGAAUUUUGUUUGAAAUCGUGAUUUCCGUUUUUGAUUUGGUUCUCACAAAAUAGAUAAUGCAUUCAUAGAAAGUAAGUUAUUUUAACUUGUUGGUAUCUUCCAAGGUAACUAGAAAUAGGAUGUUUGGUUCAGAAGGACUUUCUAACUGCUCUUUCAAAAGACUUUCCAUAAAGGUCAAUGUCAAUCUUUUAUGCUUAUAAUAGCAUCAUGCAUUUUUAUAAUUCCGUCUUUUUGUUUAUUCUAAAAUGUUACUCUUUUUAUUUCCAAAAAUUAUUUUGAAGUGAUAACUAACUUGUUCGUCCGAGUCUUUGUAGGAAGGUAUGUACGCUCUUGUCAUGAAUAGAUCAAAAUGAGUCUUGAGGUCAUUACAGGGAGAGCCAGUAGUUGAGGUUACAAAUGAAGGUGUUGAUGCUGCGGGGCAUACAAUUGGUACAUCUUUGGAGGUCAUUUCCAUCUUAGGAAGGUACCACACCUUUGCUAUGAUCGUGUCAGUCUUGAGGUCCUUAGAGGGAUUUGUCUUCGUCUCAACUGUAUUCGAUACAAUAUCUUGCCCUCAUAUACCUUAAUAAAAUGGGGUAGUCGGACGUAAAAGUAUGCAUCUUGUAGAAACCGUUUGGACCCUACUUCUCUAUGGUAAUGUUCCAUUCCGGUUCUGGGGGGAUAUUAUGCUAAUGGCAUGUUACCUUAUAAACCCCGUGCCCUCGUCUGGCCUUAACAACAAUAUCCCUCACUAAAUUUUGUUGUUUCCUCAUUCCCACCCAAUUCCUCCUCGUGUCUUCGAGUCUACAAUAUUUGUUCACAAUCUCUCUCCUUUGAUGAUUUAUCAACUCAAUUACUUAAGUGUCUUUCUUGGUUAUCAUCAAUCACAAAAAGGUUAUCGUUUCUAUUCUACUACUCUACAAUGAUAACUCAUAUCAGUCGUUGUUAUCUUGUUUGAGUUUGUUUCAUAUUUCGAGUCCAAUCACGUAACUCCGGGACCCCUUCAAGAAAUUACUCCCACACCUCUUCUAAAUGUUAUUAAUGUCUAGCCUACUAUUAUUCUCAAUCAGUCCAAGGAGCCUGAUCCACUAGAUAUCACUUUGGUUGACCCUCCAACUUCUCGACCACUACAAACAUAUCACUUUCAUCACUCAACAUCUUUCAUAUCUGUUCCCGAGAUCAUUGCGGACUCUCCUUUAAGGUUGUCCCAUCAACGGAUCUGAUCCUGUAGCCUGAGCCAGAUUUUCUGAUUGCCCUGUGAAAAGGUAUAUAUCAAACACGAAAUAUAUCUCUCCACAUUAUAUUAAUGUAUGUUAGCACCAUUUUCCCCUUUACGUUAUACUUGUAUGUCUUCUUUGUCUUCUAUUUCUAUUCUUAACACUUCAGGUGAAGCAUUAUCUCAUCCCUGACUGGAGGCAAUAAAUGAUUGACGAGAUGUGUUCUCUCCAAACAGUGGUACUUGGGAAUUGGUUCCUCUACCCCCUAUGAAGUCUUUGGUAGGUUGUCAUUGGAUUUAUAUUGUGAAGGUCGGUCUAAAAGAUAAGAUUAAUCGAUUUAAAGCUUGUUUGGUAGCCAAAGGAACACUCAUAUUUUUGGGUUGGAUUACAGUGAUACUUUUUCACCUGUAGCUAAUAUGCCAUAAGUUAGACUUCUUCUCACUAUUCAAUAAUGCCUUCUGUUAAGAAGAUAAGCAAGGAGAAAAGAAGAAAUUCUGUUAUUGUAUUUCUCAAGGAUGCAUAGUACAGAGGAUCCAUAUAUAUAAGGAAUUGAUAAGGCUAGGCACUAACAAAUUCUAUGUCAGUUGUACAGCACUAACAAAUUCUAUGCCAGCUGUACAACACUAACAAAUUCUAAUACAGCUAUACUUAGUGAUAACACAUAAUAUAAGCCCCUAUACAAAAGCAUCUCUAAUAGUCCCCCUUAGAACUUGAUGAAGCUUCCAGCAACUGUCUUUUGUUGACAACUCUGAGCUUGUUCCUCAGAGGAAGAAACUUCACAGCAGUAAGAGGUUUUGUCAGUGCAUCUGCCCAUUGAUCCUGGGCAGACACAUGAGCAACAAUUAAGCUUUUAUUUAGGACCUUUUCUCUCACAAAAAAUAUGUCUAAUUCCAUGUGCUUAGUUCUGUUGUGAAGCACAGGGUUGUGAGCCAAAGUGACAGUGCUGAGAUUGUCACAGAGAAUUCUAGGAACCUGAAAUUUGCACUUAAGCUCUUGAAGGAGAGAUUGAAUCCACAAUAAUUCUGCAGCCAGUUGAGCCAUGCUUCUAUACUCUGCCUCAGCACUUGACCUUGCUACCAACUGCUGCUUCUUAGACCACCAGGAAAUUAGGUUAGGACCUAAGAAAACACAAGUACCGGAUGUGGAUCUUCUAUCAUCUGGGUCUGCUUCCCAGUCAGCAUCACAAAAACUCAGCAGAGAUAGAGGCUGAUGUUUAGGAAGGUAUGUACGGUGUUGUCAUGAAUAGAUCAAAAUGAGUCUUGAGGUCAUUACAGGGAGAGCCAGCAGUUAAGGUGACAAAUGAAACUGUUGAUGCUACAGUGCAUACAAUUGGUACAUCUUUGGAGGUCGUGUUCAAACUUAGGAAGGUUCUCAACCCCAAGAGUGUGAUCAGACCAACAUCAUUAGCUAAAGAUUAUUUUGAAUCCAUAUCUAACUUGACCGUCAAAUGCUUUGUAGGUACCACACCUUUGCUAUGACCAUGUCAGUCUUGAGGUCAUUAGAGGGAUUUUUCAUUGUCUCAGCUUUACUCGAUACAACAUUGCUACAGUUCAUUCAAACUUAUCCAUCUCCUUCUGCAAUCUAUAAGAAAAAUUGCAGGGUACCACACCUUUGUCGUGUCAUGCUAUGUUCACGAGUAUGAUGAAACAGAAAGGAAAUGGUAGGAAGUUUGGUUUGCUGUGAUCGGUUCCAUGAGAUUUAGAAAGUGAUGCAAGGACGCCUUUGAUCAUGCUCAACAAGCUGCUAGAGUGUUCAAGAACAGAAGCAGCCUGCGGUCUACCCUAUUGGAAGCACCAUCCGUUCUUCAACCCAACUACGAGUGGAUGAGUGUCAUUGACUCGAGGGCCUGCUGGAACAUUGGAAAUGGGCAGAGGGUGAAAAUGUUGGGUGACAACUAGUUCCUGGGUCAGGCUGAGUUUGAAGUGUGGAGUCAUGCUUAACCCUAGUGAUUCAGUUAAUCGAAGAUGAAGCAAACAAUGGAAAUUGUGAGUUAUUCUUCAUCUAUUUUAACGUUGAUUAAGAAACAAAAGAUAGAGUUCUUAGAUGAUGAGAUUCCUAACAUGAUCACACUAUCGUCACCUCAUCAUACUCCCUCACCACUGCAGAAAACAUGCUUAUCGUUAAUGAAUGAAAUUAUUGAACUUGGUGAGAUGCGGUUAGAACUGUUUCGUCUCAUUAACAACACCCAAGAAGCCAUGGAUGCUGAAAGAACAAGGGAAAUCGCAAUCUUGAUGUCAUUUAGAUAGUAACUAACAACUUUUUAUUCAUUUCAAAUUGAUUUUGUUAGGUACAUUGUUUUAUUUACCCAAUGUUAUUAUGAAUAUAUGCUUGUGUCAUGAUGAGUAAGAUGAAACUCCUUCUUCAGGUAAUAUAUCUGUGUUUUUGCACUUACUGUGUGAUCUAACAAUCAAAUUAUUUGUCCCACUCAUUUCUUACAUACGAUAAUCAGGUUGUUGUUUAGGUCCUAUACAAUGCAUUCAUACAAAGUAACUUGAAAUAGAAAGACAUUUAGUAUGUUGUUCUUUUUCCUUUUUCACAGACUUCCCAUAAAGGUUAGUGUCAGUCUUUUAUGCUUAUAAUUCCAUCAUGUCUUGCUAAUUUCUUUACUCUAAAAUGUUACUCUUAGUGUUUGUUUAUGUCACAAGUCUUACUAUAUUGUCAGAGUCUUUGCAGGCAGGUACCACAACCUUGUUAUGCUCGUGUAAUGAAUAGAUUAAAAUCAGUCUUAAGGUCCUUAUGAGGUAAUGAUCUUCUGUUUGCCUCUUUUCAUUUUGUUUUUACUAUAUAUAUAUAUAUAUAUACACAAGGUGAUUGUUUUGUUAUAAAUACUGCACAAAUAUUGUGGCGAAAUGCUACUUUCCGAAUACAGUGAGUGGUUGAGUUCUGCAGUUUAUUUUGAGCUAUUUCUGACACUUUCUUUGAUUAUACGGGUGUCAGUGGUAUUGUAUUUUCAUUUUGAAAUGUAAUUCUGGAGUCCUAACACCAAAUCGUUUUAGAUUUUUCUUGACAGAGAGUGGUUAGUCCUACCAAGGUUUCAUGAUUUGCUCACUUUACUGUGACAUGUCAUCACUAUACUAAAGUUACUUCGGGGAUAAGGAUGCUUGACCAAGUGCAUGUUAACUCAUUGCUAUCUUUAUUUGUUAUAGAUUGAUGAACUAUUUGACGGUUUUGUUUUAUUUCCCAACAUUAAUUUGAAUCCAUUAUUAACUUGAUCGUCGGAGACAUUGUAGGUACCACACCCUUGCUAUGAAUAUUUCAUAAAUAGAUCAAAAACAGUCUUGAGGUUAUCAGAGAUGAUGUUCUUCUGUUUGCCUUUUAUGAUUUGGUUUGAUUUGUUUGUUCUCAACAUAUUAUUCAGGUUCAUUCGUUCAUUUCAUUUUUUGAAUUAAUAUGUACAAUUUUUAUAAAAAUGUGAAGCCUUUUUUUGAUUUGAACAUUUUCUACUCGUCUUAAUGACUUUUUGUUGGCUUUCUUGUACUGAGCUUAUUCACUUUUCAAUGCUUACAUUGUUAAUGUUUUGUAGAUUUUGUAGGAGGAAAACUUGGAAGAGGUCAUUGCACUUACUGUGAUAUAACUGUUAAAUUGUUUGUCUCACACAUAUCUUUCAGAUGCAAAGGAUAAUACUGACAUUAUGAAUUUUGUUACAGGCCCCGCCCAGGGAGCAAGCGUAUGUGACAUUUUCAUUGUAUUAGAUUGUGUUGAUCCUACUAUUGCUAGCAAUUUAAGGCAUCCCAUGAUGCACCAUUUUGCAGGGAUAUGUUUUUUUCGAACUUACCCUUAAGUUUUCUUCAAUGCAAUGAUUAAAUGAACUUGUUCUUUGUCUAAUUUCAGUAUUUCUUCCAUAUUAAAUUUAGCUGCCUUACUCACUUGUUCAGGUCAUUUUUGCUGAUUUUAUGGUAAUCUGUGAUCGAUUCCAUGAGAUAUAGAAAGUGAUGCAGGUCACCUUUGAAUUU